CCCUCUGGACAGGAGCACUUUGUAGGAGCUGGAGACACAUUCCUCCAGUUAAAAAUAUUUCAAUAAUCUUUGCUUUUCAGGACUGCAACUAGAAGUUUAAGAACUUCUGGAUCACUUUCUGGACUGACUUUACAAGUGAGAUUUCUUCAGGAAACUGAAAACCCUGAGCUGCACUUUUGCAGCUCCAAAACAAUGGCAGAGUGCGUGCAGGAUGCCACGGUGAUCCAGGAUCCAGAAGCUAACACAGAGGACCCGAGAGAGGUUUUAACCGAGUGUACAUCAGUGGUAGCAGUCAAAGCCAGACCUGCAGAGCUGAGGCUGAUUCGGAGCUUGUCCAAGUCUGACUCUGACUUGUUGGCGUCACCUUUCGGAGGAGAGGAAGAUGGAGGAAUGGCUGGCCGCAGUGGGUCCGUGUCUAACUGCCGCUCUGGGCAGCCAUCCAUGGAGCGCAUGCCAUCUUUUGCUUCUGAGUGGGAUGAGAUUGAGAAGAUAAUGAACUUGAUCGGAGCCGGCAUUGAAACGUCCAAAAAGAAACAGCCCUCACCAAGCUCAGAUGGGGCCUGUGGUAAAGCCCUGGACCAGCCGGUCGGAGAGUGGCUGGAGCACGUGGGGCUGCCGCAGUACGAGAGCAAGUUCCUGCUCAAUGGCUUCGACGACCUACGAUUCAUGGGAAGUAACGUGAUGGAGGACCAGGAUCUUAGAGACGUUGGGAUCACUGACCCAGGACACAGAAAGAAGAUCCUCCAUGCGGCACGCAGCUUGCCCAAGGUGAAAGCACUGGGCUGUGAUGGCAGCACGUCUCUUGUGUCCUGGCUGGACGGUCUUGGUCUGCAUGAAUAUCUGCCUAACUUUCUUUCUAGUGGCUACCGCACACUGGAGUGUGUCAAGAACCUGUGGGAGCUGGAGAUUAUCAAUGUUAUUAAGAUUGGUGCCCUGGGCCACAGGAAGAGGAUCAUCGCCUCUCUAGCAGAGAGACCCUAUGAGGAGGCUCCGUCCAAGUCCCGUCGUCUGUCCCCAAUUAUGUUCCAUGACCUCCUGUCCCAGAACACGUCUCCCCUCAGUCAGAUGGACCCGUACACCAGCCGCUCCAUGGACAUGCUGCUGCCCUUGACUGAGUCGGGCCGGGGGAGGAGAGCAGUCGAUCAGGACUGUAGUGUUUCGCUGCGGUCGUACAGUGAGAGACCGCGCUCUGUAGACAGACAGAGUGAACGACAGAAAGACUCUCGUUUAAACCUCCGGCCUCCAAGCCAGUCUGCUACCUACGCCACUGUGUCCGCCUGGCAUCACCAGCCCGAGAAGCUCAUCCUGGACUCCUGUGGCUACGAGGCAACCUACCUAGGAUCAAUGAUAAUCAGGGAUCUACGAGGGAUUGAGUCCACACAAGAUGCCUGUGCUAAAAUUAGGAAAUCAAAGGAUUCAAGAAAGGGUCCAGUAGUCAUACUGUCCAUUACCUACAGAGGGGUCAAGUUCAUCGACGCAGCCACGAAGACUAUAGUUGCGGAGCAUGAGAUCAGGAACAUUUCGUGCGCCGCCCAAGAUCCGGAUGACCUCUGCACUUUUGCUUACAUUACCAAGGAUCUGAAGAGUGGACACCACUUCUGUCACGUCUUCAGCACAGUAGAAGUGACACAGACAUAUGAGAUCAUCCUCACACUUGGGCAGGCGUUUGAGGUGGCCUAUCAGAUGGCAAUGCAGUCAAGGGCAAGACACUACAUCCCGCCUACAUCUCUGACCUCGGAGGUCAUAGAGACCAAAACCAGCCGACCCGUAUCUCAGUCUUGGAACAGCAUGCGGAGAUCAGCAAUGGACCCCAUGGAGAUGGACGCAGACAUGCACUCCCUGGGCAGCACCACCUGGCUCUUGGACCAGCGGGACUCCCACAGGCGCCCCGUCAGCACCAAGUACGAGACCACCAUAUUCUGAGGCCGGAACCCUGCAGCCGCCCCUCUGCACUCCCUCGUACUUUCCUCUCCCCCCUGCAUCCGGGUCUUUAUUUAACUCACACACACACUCAUACAUGCGAGCCCCGUGCCUUCUCACUGUGAUGGUAUAGCAUCCCUCAGGGCGGCCUACUCCUGCACCCUCCUUUGCCCAGCCCAGCGACCCGCACCAACCUCUCUUUACCUGCAAUGACAAAACACUCCCGCGGCUCCCCCGUGCCUCCCCCCUCGAGACCCCCUCCGGCAGCCUCCCUCGCCUGUUGCUGCUGCAGCCGAUGGCGGAGGAUCCUGGACUGAUCUAAUUUUACAGUGGGCCUGCUCUCUCAACCAAACUGCCUCUUCCUCCUCAUCUCCUCCUCCUGGCAACUUGAUCUGCCUCCAAACCCCAGAUAGCUCCCAGAGCCUGUCCUGUCUUACCAGGCAUCUACCACUGUGAGGCACUGUGAGGAGGUUGCUUUGCUAAGCAUGGGAUGAAAGGACAUUUAAAUAAGUGAAAACACAAAACAGCAACAUGCAGCAAACAACCUGUUUGUUUUUCUACGCAUUUGUACAAUACUCAUAACACCACGAUGGAUUGGUCGUGAACCUAUCACGGAUGAUGUCUGAACUCAAACGGACCAAGAACUGAACCCUUAUACACACACACACACACACACACACACACACACACACACACACACACACACACACACACAGGAACUUUCCUACGCUUUACCGAGGACAACAGCCUUACGUCAUUUAGGUUAUCUAUAAUCAACUAAAGCCCCCGCCCUCGCCGAAUAUCAUCACUACCCGACAACUGCACGCCUCCCCCUGCUUUUCAAAGACUGGAAAGAAGACACUCCUGAUUUCCCGGUGUCUUUAUUGACUGACCGUGCGAACGACGCUCUUGCGAUGGUACAGUUCUGUUCAGAUGAGUUGUAGCUCUGACCUUUGACUGCCCUACCUGCAGCCUCUCAGCAUUCAUGGUAGCACCGAGAGACUGCUUUAAUCACGGUAUCUUCUUCUUUGUCAAUUUAAAAAAUAAUAAUAACACUGUGUUGAAUCGUGGCACUAUCCCUUUUAAUACCUUCUUUUGGUGCAUAUAGGACAUAUAACGUGCAUUUUGUGAUACUUUUUGAUAGAACGGGGAUGAUUGAAAGGAAAGAGUGACUUAAGGAUCAGGAAGGAUCCAAUCAUUGAAACACACCACGAAAAAAAAAAAAAAACAUGCAUAUUGAGCGAACUGACAUUAAAUCUCACAAUUUUGGUAAUCUCAUCCAAAGGAGAAGUCCUCCAAUUUUCCCAUUUGUAUUUCCAUAAGCCUGGAGCACAAUUUGGCGCACAUUUCCUAACAUAGCAUCCUAUUAUCAUGAUUACAAGGGUAGCUAUCCGUGCUGUUUCACACCAAGUUUAGAAUUAGGUACAGUACAUGCAAAGUAGCCUAUGUCACUUGAAGAUAAACGGCAGUGAAAAGAUUUAAAUCCACUACAAUAAAAAAGAGCCAAAAGUGUUGCUCUGGUGUUGUGGUAAUGGCAAUGGAUUUUUAAUGCUGAGAACAUGACACCGUUUUUUGUGUUAAAAAAAAGAAAGAAUUUCUCUCCUGCACUGUGACUCAAAAUGCUCGUUGCGGAGUUGAGGCGUGUCUGUGGGUCCUCCCCUGUGUGCACUUCCUGCUGUAUGCCUUGUCUCUGUCUGUCCUCAUGGGAGUUUGGACUGCUGCUGUUUACAUCCCCGUCCACUGUCCUUGUUUCUGUGUGCUGCAGGAAAUGUGAGGCACUGAGCUCGUCUCCACUGACUGUUAAUACGGUCUGUGUGCGGCGCCACUCUGUUCUGACUGUUAGCUUCCACUGACGAUGCAUGCUGGCAGUGUUUCUGUGUUCCUGAUGCACUUGGCCUGAGCAGUCUGUAUGUACUGUAGCUGUGUCUCGUCUCUCCUCGCUCGUCUCGCCAUUUGCUUUUUAUGUUCCCUCCUCUCAUCCCCAUCACCCCCCAUGUAUCCACUGUCCUCCCAACACUUUGUAUGUUUCUUCCAUUUUGUGUCACCAAGACAACCUGCUCUAGUAUGGAUGAAAGAAAAAGGCAUUACAAUUUAAUGAGCAGCAGCUAUUUAAAGCAAGUUUUGGUGGCAUGAUUUUGGCUGUGCAUGUACCAGUCUUCUUUAACAUCAAUGUUUUCCUUGUGUAGCUCACCCCAGCGUUCAAGUUUCCGGAUACCAAGCUGUGAGUUGAAGGGGAGCAGCCGAUGUGAGUGUGUGUGUGUUGUUGUUAGAGGGAAGAGCGGAGGGAAAAGAGGUAGAGAGGACAUGAGAGGUAAGCCUAAUGCAACGCGCAGGGCCAAACAGCGCUACUCUGACAUUUACAUUUAUCCCCUGCUCCUCCACCGCCCCCCAUAUCAAUCCCAACACACAGACAGAAGGUAACCCCCACCCCUACACAUCACCGGCUACACGGGACCCGUAUCACUCCUGUCUCGAGUAAUCAGAAAGGGUCAGUCUAUUUCCUGGCCUCCAUGUGACUUUCUGAUCUCGUCAUGUAGGUACUGUUAUGUUUAGAGCACUGUAGACCAUUAAUGAUAUAGAGCAUUAAUGAGCAUUUCUAUUGAUUCAGGUCUAUUGGAGAUAGAAACUGUGGGAGUUAUUAAGGAUAAACAGAAAUGUAACGACGUGUAGAGAAAAAAAAAACAAAAAACUGUACCAGCAUACAAUGCUUUGCCCAUGUUUGUGGACGGAGUAUGGUUUGUCAAUGAAAAUGUGAUACUGUUUCAAAUUUCAAAGCAAUAUUAUAUUAAUGAAAGAUUAAAUAAUACAAUGACAAAACAAA